rnacentral:rRNA from 1 species
GACGAACGCUGGCGGCGUGCUUAACACAUGCAAGUCGAGCGGUAAGGCCUUUCGGGGUACACGAGCGGCGAACGGGUGAGUAACACGUGGGUGAUCUGCCCUGCACUUCGGGAUAAGCCUGGGAAACUGGGUCUAAUACCGGAUAUGACCUCCUAUCGCAUGGUGGGUGGUGGAAAGAUUUAUCGGUGCAGGAUGGGCCCGCGGCCUAUCAGCUUGUUGGUGGGGUAAUGGCCUACCAAGGCGACGACGGGUAGCCGGCCUGAGAGGGUGACCGGCCACACUGGGACUGAGACACGGCCCAGAAUCGUACGGGAGGCAGCAGUGGGGAAUAUUGCACAAUGGGCGCAAGCCUGAUGCAGCGACGCCGCGUGAGGGAUGACGGCCUUCGGGUUGUAAACCUCUUUCAGCAGGGACGAAGCGCAAGUGACGGUACCUGCAGAAGAAGCACCGGCUAACUACGUG